GGGAACUGAGACACCGCCCAAGAAUCCUACCGGAGGCAGCCAUGGGGAAUAUUGCACAGUGGGCGAAAGUCCUGAUGCAGCGACGCCGCCUGAUGGAAGAAGGUUUUCCGAUUGUAAACCUCUGCCUUGGGGACGAAGAAGUGACCGUACCCAAAGGAGGGAGCCACCGCUAACUACGUGCCCAGCAGCCCGCGGUAAAACGUAGGUUGCAAGCGUUGUCCGGAAUUACUGGGUGUAAAGGGGAGCGCAGGCGGGUCGGUAAGUUGAAUGUGAAAUCUAUGGGCUCAACCCAUAAAUUGCGUUCAAAACUAUCGAUUCUGAGUGAUGUAGAGGCAGGCGGAAUUUCCGGUGUAGCGGUGGAAUGCGUAGAUAUCGGGAGGAACACCAGUGGCGAAGGCGGGCCUGCUGGGCAUUAACUGACGCUGAGGCUCGAAAGUAUGGGGAGCAAACAGGAUUAAGUACCCUGGUAGUCCAUACCGUAAACGAUGAUUACUAGGUGUGGGGGGAUAGACCCCCUCCGUUCCGCAGUAACGCAAUAAGUAAUCCACCUGGGGAGUACG
rnacentral:rRNA from 1 species